AAAAUUUACCAAGGCUUAUAAAAUAUUGAAAUAUGAUCUUGAAAUAAUGGUAAUAUACAAUUUUAUAAAGACAUAUUAUUAUUAUUUUCUAAAGAUGUGUGAUGAAAACGUAAGACUAUCUAUUAAUUUAUUUUAAAAAAUGUUAUGAUUGUAGUAAAUAGUAUGAUUGCCAUACUCCCCUAACCCACAUGAUGUGGGUUUACCCUGCCCUAAAUAGACGGGAGGUGUACACAGUCGGGGGAUAUGGUGAAAGGCAUAUGUCUCCCAUCCCAUAGCAUGGUGAAAUGUUAAGAGUGUAAUGGAGGGAGCUCUCUCGUGAUAGUAGAUAUCACAAGUAUGGGGGGUUAAUCUACAUGUGGGGGUACAUAAGAAGGGGGGCAUAUAUUAUGAAAAAAUGAAUACUUUUUAGAAAUUACUUAUUAAAUUGUAAUUAAUAAGUAAUUAUGAGAUAAAAAUGUUUAAGUGGUGACGGAAUGUGCUUUGCCAUUCGCAGAGUUUAUAAUUGAUUUUGUUACAUUUAAUGAAUAUUUUCGCAUAAAAGACGGACUAUUACUCGAGUAAAAUUAAUAGUGUUGUGUCAGUUAAACGUCUUAAAAAUGUUUUCUUGUGACAAUUGUGAAAAAGUGUUACCAUUCAAACAUGGACUGGUACGUCAUCUAAAUGGUAUACGGUUGGGUAUACGAUUUAAAUGUUAUUUAUGUCCAUCUACUUUUUCGGACAAAUGGGCACUCUCGCGUCAUGUUAAGACAAUUCGCCGUAAGUAUUACAAUUAUUAUUUAAUAAAUAGUAACAUUAAAAGAGAAAAUUUAUUAUUAAUUAAACACAGGAAGAUCCAUUUGUAAUUUAUGCCGAUUUCGAGAGCCUGUUGAUCAAAUCCAACAAAGAUAUGAAUGAAAACACAAAUUAUAUACAUGAUCAUGUUGCAAUGAGCUAUGGAUGAUACUUACAGUAUAAUACAUAAUAGUAUACUAUUAUAAUAGUAUUACUAGUAUUAUAUAAUACAUACAGUAUACUUGUCUAUGGAUACAUAGUAAAAGCGGCCGACAGUGUACCCAUAGAAUUAUUACAACAGUUUAAUAUUCAAACGACGCCUAAAAUACAUAGAGGUAAUAAAAGCAGUGGGCCUAGGGAAGUAGCCACUCGUUUCAUGGAUGACGUAACUGAAGUGGCAUUGAAAAUUGAACAGUUGCUUAAGACGAACGUUGAUAUUUGUAUGACACACGAAGAAACUGAAGAACAUAUAAAGAAAACCUGCUGUGACUUGUGUAAAGGUAGUUUUACAGAGAAAAAUCAUAAAGUAACAGACCAUAAUCAUUUGACAGGUAGUUUUAGAAAAACGCUUCGUAACAAUUGCAAUUUAAAAUUAACAGCGCCCAAGUUUGUUAACGUAUAUUUUCAUAAUCUCAGCUCGUACGACGGUCACUUUGUAGUUAAAGCCCUUGGAAGAGAUACUAGUAGAAUCAGUGUAAUACCUGCUACAGAAGAAAAAUAUAUUUCUUUUUCAAAGUUUGUUUCAAACAAAUUUUCGCUAAGGUUCGUUGAUACAUUUCGUUUUAUGGGUACUAGUUUAGCGGCUCUUGCUGACAUAUAAUUAUUCGGAGAAACCGCAAAAGGGUUUUCAGCGGACGGCGACAUUGAUUUAGUGACCCGUAAAGGCGUGUUGUACCCGUAUUCAUACACCUUUAGCUGGGAUGUACUAGAAGGAAAACAAUUACCGUCAAAAACCGAUUUUUAUAAUGAACUGUCAGAAACCCAUAUUGGUCAUGCCGAAUACGAACAUGCGCAAAACGAUUGGCAACAUUUCAAUUGUAAAACGCUCGGUGAGUACUCUUAUCUGUACCUGAAAACUGACGUAACAAUACUUGCGGACGCUUUUACGAAUUUUCGCAAGUCUACUAAAAUAUAAAUUGGAACCGGCCUGUCUUUUGACGCUAUGUUGCUGCAUACGGGCGUUUCACUAGAUCUCAUAAGCGAUUAUGAACAGCAACUUUUUAUUGAGAGGGUAAUACGUAGAAGAAUGACAACUUCGGUGUUGAAACAUGCCAUAGCCAACAAUGAAAAGACACCUCAUUAUGAUAUCAAACAACAAAAAUCUGAAAUUAUAUAUCUGGAUGUCAAUAAUUUGUAUGGUUGGAGUAUGUCUCAACAUAUGCCAUGUGGUGACUUUAAGUGGUUAGCCGUGGACGACGAAACAAAAAUUUUAAAGACAGCGGAAGAGUUACCGACGGAUUCUCUUGUAGGGAUGGCCCUUGAUGUGAAGGUGUCGUACCCGAAAGAAUUACAUGAUGCCCACAACUAAUUGCCGUUGUUUCUACCUGAACGAAAAUGUCUACCUAAUUCACGGGUCAAAAUACUGUUGUCUACUUUCAAUCGGAAAGAAAACUACGUUGUACAUUAACUAAAUUUAAAACAGGCUAUGGCAAACGAGUUAAAAGUAGAAAAGGUGCAUAAGGUGUUACAAUUUAAGCAGUCGACAUGGCUAUCAAAAUAUAUACAACUCAAUACGGAGAUGAGACAGAAAGCCAAAAAUGAUUUCGAAAAAGACUUUUUCAAAUUAAUGAAUAACGCUGUUUUUGGUACGUUUUAAAAUUAAAU